rnacentral:rRNA from 1 species
AUUGAACGCUGGCGGCAGGCCUAACACAUGCAAGUCGAGCGAGCGUCGGACGGGUGUGUAAUGUAUGGGGACUGCCCGAUAUGGGGGGAUAACUACUGGAAACGGUGGCUAUUACCGCCUAUUGUCUGAUAAUCCAUAGGGGAGUAGCUAGUAGUUAAGGUAAUGGCUUACCUAGGCGACGAUCCCUAGCUGGUCUGAGAGGAUGAUCAGCCACACUGGGACUGAGACACGGCCCAGACUCCUACGGAGGCAGCAGUGGGGAAUAUUGCACAAUGGGCGCAAGCCUGAUGCAGCCAUGCCGCGUGUAUGAAGAAGGCCCUAGGGUUGUAAAGUACUUUCAGUCGGGAGGCGUUACCGACAGAAGAAGCACCGGCUAACUCCGUGCCAGCAGCCGCGGUAAUUC